CUCAGUCUGAACAAACGAUUCUACAGACGGCUGUUGGAGCUGUCAAUGCAGAUUCUAACAUACUGGUAUAGACGUCUACAUAUCAUACCUAACGUAGACACACUCCCGAGAGACCAGUUUCUGCAAUAUUUGUCCUGUGAUAGCGUCUUUUUCUCUCAUUGUCCGCUGCUGGAACGAAUUUUCGUGUCACCAAUAUUUAUUGUUCGAAACAAAGCAAAUCCAUAGGAGAUGUUAUCUCAGAGAUUAUACUACUAAAGUAACUAGUUUAUUGACAGUGUGUUUAUACUUUAAAUAUGAUACACAAAUGGCUAUUUUAAUUAAAUACAGACAGAUUCAAAUGUGUGCAUGGAACAUAAUGCUAUAUUUAUUAAAUGCUUAUAUUUUCUCAUUCUGAAACCAAAACAAGUAUUUUUCCAACUCUGUAGCGGUAAACAUAACUUCUAUAUAUCGAUGAUGGCUGACUGUGCGGUGGUUAGAGGCUGGCUACAAUUAAUUCAAACUGAAAGAGACUGUGAAUAUGAGAAACUGGAUCGUUAUCCUGCAAUUCAAUAUGCUGAUGCAAGCUCGAGUGUCAUCUGGAACGACGGUUAUGCAAUAGCAGACUCCAUGGCCAUAUUCAUCAGCCUGAAGCCGUA